rnacentral:lncRNA from 1 species
ACUGAGCCCAUUGAUGAGUACUGCGUACAGCAGCUCAAGGAGUUCGAUGGCAAGAGCCUGGUCUCCGUGACCAAGGAGGGCCUGGAGCUACCAGAGGAUGAGGAAGAGAAGAAAAAAAUGGAGGAGAGCAAGGCAAAGUUUGAGAAUCUCUGCAAGCUCAUGAAGGAGAUCUUGGACAAGAAGGUUGAAAAAGUGAGUCUUCCCUUGGAUUUAGUCUGCUGCUAUUACAGCAUAGACCAGGCACUAGCAGUAUUCAGGGAUAUUUAAUACUGUUUAACUCCUAACAGUUAUUCCACCUAAUGUAUGCAUGCAAGAAAAGACCUUACUGUUGCCCAGGUUAUCCUUGAAUCUCUGCAGUACUCAAGCUACCUUCAGCCUCUACAGCAUGUAGGGGUAGGGGGUUAGUCAUCUGCUAUUCUUUUUUUUUUAUUAUUUUUGUUCUUUUUUUCGGAGCUGAGGACCGAACCCAGGGCCUUGCACUUCCUAGGCAAGCGCUCUACCACUGAGCUAAAUCCCCAACCCCGUCAUCUGCUAUUCUUGACAAAAAAACCCAAGGUACUUUUUCCAUAGCAGUUCCAUGAUGGCCAACAAUUGUCAUUGUCCUUGAUUGUCCACAGGUGACUAUCUCCAAUAGGCUUGUGUCUUCCCCCUGCUGCAUUGUGACCAGCACCUACGGCUGGACAGCCAACAUGGAACGGAUUAUGAAGGCCCAGGCACUGCGGGACAACUCGACAAUGGGCUACAUGAUGGCCAAGAAACACCUAGAGAUCAACCCUGAC